rnacentral:tRNA from 1 species
GUGUUUGUAGCUUAACUGGAAUAAAAGCGUUAAACUACGGAUUUAAAGAUUGAAAGUUCGAUUCUUUCCAAACACG